rnacentral:rRNA from 1 species
GAUGAACGCUGGCGGCGUGCCUAAUACAUGCAAGUCGAGCGAACAGACGAGGAGCUUGCUCCUCUGACGUUAGCGGCGGACGGGUGAGUAACACGUGGAUAACCUACCUAUAAGACUGGGAUAACUUCGGGAAACCGGAGCUAAUACCGGAUAAUAUAUUGAACCGCAUGGUUCAAUAGUGAAAGACGGUUUUGCUGUCACUUAUAGAUGGAUCCGCGCCGCAUUAGCUAGUUGGUAAGGUAACGGCUUACCAAGGCGACGAUGCGUAGCCGACCUGAGAGGGUGAUAGGCCACCCUGGAACUGAGACACGGUCCAGACCCCUACGGGAGGCAGCAGUAGGGAAUCUUCCGCAAUGGGCGAAAGCCUGACGGAGCAACGCCGCGUGAGUGAUGAAGGUCUUCGGAUCGUAAAACUCUGUUAUUAGGGAGGAACAAAUGUGUAAGUAACUAUGCACGUCUUGACGGUACCUAAUCAGAAAGCCACGGCUAACUACGUG